GUGGGGAAUAUUGGACAAUGGGCGAAAGCCUGAUCCAGCAAUGCCGCGUGAGUGAUGAAGGCCUUAGGGUUGUAAAGCUCUUUUACCCGGGAUGAUAAUGACAGUACCGGGAGAAUAAGCUCCGGCUAACUCCGUGCCAGCAGCCGCGGUAAUACGGAGGGAGCUAGCGUUGUUCGGAAUUACUGGGCGUAAAGCGCACGUAGGCGGCUUUGUAAGUUAGAGGUGAAAGCCUGGAGCUUAACUCCAGAACUGCCUUUAAGACUGCAUCGCUUGAAUCCAGGAGAGGUGAGUGGAAUUCCGAGUGUAGAGGUGAAAUUCGUAGAUAUUCGGAAGAACACCAGUGGCGAAGGCGGCUCACUGGACUGGUAUUGACGCAGAGGUGCGAAAGCGUGGGGAGCAAACAGGAUUAGAUACCCCUGUAGUCC
rnacentral:rRNA from 1 species